rnacentral:rRNA from 1 species
CAGCAGCCGCGGUAAUACGGAGGGUGCGAGCGUUAAUCGGAAUUACUGGGCGUAAAGCGCGCGUAGGCGGUUUGUUAAGUCAGCUGUGAAAGCCCUGGGCUCAACCUGGGAACUGCAGUUGAUACUGGCCGACUAGAGUACGAGAGAGGGAGGUAGAAUUCCAUGUGUAGCGGUGAAAUGCGUAGAUAUAUGGAGGAAUACCAGUGGCGAAGGCGGCCUCCUGGCUCGAUACUGACGCUAAGGUGCGAAAGCGUGGGGAUCAAACAGGAUUAGAUACCCUGGUAGUCCACGCCGUAAACGAUGUCUACUAGCCGUUGGGAGACUUGAUUUCUUAGUGGCGCAGCUAACGCAAUAAGUAGACCGCCUGGGGAGUACGGCCGCAAGGUUAAAACUCAAAUGAAUUGACGGGGGCCCGCACAAGCGGUGGAGCAUGUGGUUUAAUUCGAUGCAACGCGAAGAACCUUACCAGGUCUUGACAUCCCUGAAACUUUCUAGAGAUAGAUUGGUGCCUUCGGGAAUCAGGUGACAGGUGCUGCAUGGCUGUCGUCAGCUCGUGUCGUGAGAUGUUGGGUUAAGUCCCGUAACGAGCGCAACCCUUGUCCUUAUUUGCCAGCGAGUAAUGUCGGGAACUCUAAGGAGACUGCCGGUGACAAACCGGAGGAAGGUGGGGACGACGUCAAGUCAUCAUGGCCCUUACGACCUGGGCUACACACGUGCUACAAUGGAACGCACAGAGGGCUGCAAAGGCGCGAGCUGGAGCGAAUCCCACAAAACGUUUCGUAGUCCGGAUUGGAGUCUGCAACUCGACUCCAUGAAGUCGGAAUCGCUAGUAAUCGUGAAUCAGAAUGUCACGGUGAAUACGUUCCCGGGCCUUGUACACACCGCCCGUCACACCAUGGGAGUGGGUUGCAAAAGAAGUGGGUAGACUAACCUUCGGGAGGUCGCUCACCACUUUGUGAUUCAUGACUGGGGUGAAGUCGUAACAAGGUAGCCGUA